CUCCAAAUGAGCAACCUCGUAACCUCAUUGCGCCAUUUAAUUAAAAACAAAAAAAGAGAAAAAAGGAAAAAAAACGGAGAAAAAAAAAGAAUUCCUCGUCACGUGCACGGUCUGAAACUGGACAGCGAUGGGUUAUUAUUUUUUUUUCCCCUCCUCCUCCUCCUCCCCACCUGUUUUGUUGUGUCCCUGGUUCUGCCCCAGCCCCUCUGUGCCCCCCUCAGCCAUUCCCAGGAUGGAUAUGGAAUCUCAUGACCAACAGCCACACACGGAGACCUGGCCCUGUCCCUGCUGCUGCCACCGAGCUGAGCCCACCUCCAGCAAACUCCUCCUGCCUCCUCCUCCUCUUCUCACCAGGAAGCGUUUGUUUGCUCCUAAGGAAAAAAAAAAAAAUGGAAAAAACUUGAAAUUCCUCGUGUCCAGCUCAAUGUUGAAGUCCUGGCAGUCCUGGAUCUGAAGCUCCUCAGAGGGGUUUUGUUGCCUUCCACGAGGUUUGGAUCAGCUCCAGCAUGGCCAAUUCCAGAAUUUUCCAUGUUUCCUCCACUGAGUUUGCCUCAUUCCGCGUUUUCCAAAGUGCUGACUCAAGGUCACACUGGGCAUCUCUUUGCCUUGUCUUAAAGUUUACUGUUUCCACCUAAACCCCCGUGAUGUUGAAUCUCUUCUUGGAGUUGAUUGCAGCGGGAUUUCCCCAGGACCCCCCUGCCCCGUGGAGCCUGGAAAGUUCAGCAGAGCUGCAGUGCAAGUGCUUAAAGUGAGAAGUUCCAGUGCAAAAAUCCAAUGUGGUUUUGGUUGGAUGUGGAGGAGAAGAUUGUGUGGCCACCAGCUCUUCACCUUCUUCACAGCAGCAGGAACUUCACCAGAGGAGUUUUUCUCUUGUUAAUCUUCUCAUACCAAGACAAAUUCAGGAAUAAAAGAAUAUUCCAGCUUCUUGGUUUCAGUCCAGGACCCUCUGGAAUUCACUGUGGGAAACUCCACCAGUGGCUGCCACUGGAUCCGAGUAACUCUGGUCCUCAGGAGCUUCUCCAAACAAGCCCUGGUUGGUGCUGCAGCUCCAGGAGAUGUUGGACCUUCAGGAGGGGACAUUUGGAGCUCUGCAGGCUGAGGGAUGGAUCCUCUGUGCCCCAGUGCACAUCCUUGGUUAAUAACUGGAGAGAAAACUAAAAACUGCAUUUUCAGCCCUGGAGUUUGAGGGAGGGAAGGAGCAGCGCUUCUCGAGGAGCACGAGAGUUGUGAAAGCUCUUCAACACCUUUAGUUCCUGUGGAGCAUCUGCUGAUAUUUUAUUUUUGGCACCUAUCAAGCAUCUAUUAUCCCUGCUGAGAGUUAACCCUGUUGUGUUUGUGUGUGGAAAAUAAAAAGCUCACUGAGUGAGAAGCA
rnacentral:lncRNA from 1 species